rnacentral:rRNA from 1 species
UACGUAGGGUGCGAGCGUUAAUCGGAAUUACUGGGCGUAAAGCGUGCGCAGGCGGCUGCUCAAGUCAGGGGUGAAAGCCCAGAGCUCAACUCUGGAAUUGCCUUUGAGACUGAGUGGCUUGAGUACGGGAGAGGUGAGUGGAAUUCCCAGUGUAGAGGUGAAAUUCGUAGAUAUUGGGAAGAACACCGGUGGCGAAGGCGGCGACCUGGUCCUUGACUGACGCUGAGGCGCGAAAGCGUGGGGAGCAAACAGG